UACGAAGGGUGCAAGCGUUAAUCGGAAUUACUGGGCGUAAAGCGUGCGUAGGCGGUUUCUUAAGUCUGCUGUGAAAUCCCCGGGCUCAACCUGGGAAUGGCAGUGGAUACUGGGAAGCUAGAGUGUGAGAGAGGAUGGUGGAAUUCCCGGUGUAGCGGUGAAAUGCGUUGAGAUCGACAGGAACGCCGGUGGCGAAAGCGGGCCGCUGGCCCUCUUCUGACGCUGAUGCGCGAAAGCCAGGGGAGCGAACGGG
rnacentral:rRNA from 1 species